GCCCGGAUGGUGAAAUCGGUAGACACAAGGGAUUUAAAAUCCCUCGACCUUUGGUUGUGCGGGUUCGAGUCCCGCUCCGGGCACCA
rnacentral:tRNA from 2 species